ensembl:snoRNA SNORA70 Small nucleolar RNA SNORA70
AUGGAUAAAUAUAUACAUAGUUCAUAGUUGAUAUUUGAAUGACAGGCUUUGCCCAGUGUGCAAUGGCUGCAAAUAGCAGGCUCCUUGGUAGUGUAUGCAACCUGUUGCCUGUACAGGCUGCCCUAAGGGACCUUGGAGACAACU